rnacentral:rRNA from 1 species
CCUACGGGAGGCAGCAGUGGGGAAUAUUGGACAAUGGGGGCAACCCUGAUCCAGCCAUGCCGCGUGUGUGAAGAAGGCCCUCGGGUUGUAAAGCACUUUCAGUGAGGAAGAACGCCUGGUGGUUAAUACCCAUCAGGAAAGACAUCACUCACAGAAGAAGCACCGGCUAACUCCGUGCCAGCAGCCGCGGUAAUACGGAGGGUGCGAGCGUUAAUCGGAAUUACUGGGCGUAAAGCGCGCGUAGGUGGCUUGAUAAGCCGGUUGUGAAAGCCCCGGGCUCAACCUGGGAACGGCAUCCGGAACUGUCAAGCUAGAGUGCAGGAGAGGAAGGUAGAAUUCCCGGUGUAGCGGUGAAAUGCGUAGAGAUCGGGAGGAAUACCAGUGGCGAAGGCGGCCUUCUGGACUGACACUGACACUGAGGUGCGAAAGCGUGGGUAGCAAACAGGAUUAGAUACCCGGGUAGUC